AAGCCUUGGACAUUUCCUUCCGCUUCCACAACUCUCUAGAGGAGAGAAGCAGCAGCUGCGUGCCGUGAAAUCAGAUUAGGUCGCAUCUGCGCCGCGCAAAGAAAGGGAGGCCUACCAGGUUGAAGACGUGUCAGGCUGUGCUACAGAGCCGAUAAAUAGCACUCGUAUUGUGUGCGCCGAAGCACGCAAAUGCCGCGGCCACCACAGUGCCAAUCGAUCCGACGUUGGGAAUGCUGUCAGGGAACCGCGAAAUCUGAUUAUCGCUGUCCGUCAGUCAACGCGUUCAUUAGUGAGCCUGCGUGGACACUGCACUGCCGAUACUGGGGUUUCACUACGCGUGUGUUGCGGUGGCAACGCUCGAUAAAGCUCGCCAAGGUCUGCGACGCACAGAAAGCUCUUUGAAUGGCACCGGCAUGCGGGAGCCAAUGGUCCGCGAAAUUAUGUUACACGCUGUGCCUACGAUAUAAUAUUGUUCCAUCACCUCAAAACAUUCUUUGAGGUUUUGCGGACUGCGAGAGAUAAUGUGAAUAUGUGCUCAUCCUAGUUGUCGCCUUAGCAAGAACGAGAAGGAAAAGAAAGAGGAGUUGCAACCUGCAUUUGGAUGAGGGAAGCGGAAAUGGAACGGCUGAAAUAUUAACGAGGAUUUCUUCCGUGCUUGGUACCCAUGGCGGAAAAAAAGUGAGAGGCUGCCAGAAAGCCAAACAGAAAGGGAUGAGGCAGGCAACAAAUACAGAUGGUUUUCAGUAUGACAUGUACUUGAAUGACAAGCAAUUACGACACGCACGUUUUUUUCUCUGAAAGAACGAUAAUGUAUUUUAACACGCGACGGAACAACGGACCACACAUCCUGUAAAGGUACUACGGCCGUCAAAUGACCAGACGCACACUGCGGUCAAGUAAUACAAGAAAUGGCUGUGACUUUGUACGUAAAUGUAACAGGUGCGCAGUUAUUAUUUUUUUGCUUUUAUUUUCUUCUAUGCGAGAGCUCCAGUUUAUAAUGGAUUUCUUUUUUUUUUUUCAUUUCUUCAAGAUGGAAAGCUCUCAACUGCCCUAUUUAUUUUCGAUGAUUCUCUUCUUUGUCAAAGGUCAUGCAAACCUCACUUAUUUUUUCUCGUUAAGCUAUGGUGAGUUGAUUCCUUCACAUGUACUGCUUUUUUUGCAUGCCACUGCGUGGACGGUGUCCUAUUGGUUCGAAAUCUGAGUACAGGUCCCCACAAAGCCCUUGCGUGAACUGUGCCCGAAACGCCGCCUCUCCCUGUGAAAAAAUCAUACUUUGACGUACGCUCCGUUGGUGUUCGCGCAUGCGUGAAUAUUUGAAAUGAUACCGCAGUUCAGCGGUUUAAAGAAAUUGCGUUAUCGGACUUUAUGGCAAGAAUGAAACAAAAUUUACUCGCAGAAAAUAUAGAGAAAGGAAGCGAGGGCAUGUGAGCUACAGGGAUGGUGACUGCGAGGAACAGAACAGAAGGACGAGAAAAAACCGAUAGCGUCGUCUGCUAUCUUCUCCACAGCGCCGAGCACGCCCUCCGACGGCAAUGUUAGAAUCGGGUGGAUGCGCGCGCUUCAACUGCUUUAACAUUCAUAUCGCGCGUUACUGUACUGUUCAGUCGGGGCACACGACUUUGCCCGAGAAAGAAGCACGUCAACCCUCGUUUACGAUGUCAAGUGAUAGCAGCGACACCGCCCAGGGCACUAGAAGUGCAGGCACUCAGCAGGAGAAUGCGAGCGUUCCUGGAGAGACCGGGGAAGCAUCGAGGCAGGAGCAAGGCAGCCAGGCUCACAACCCACCCAGCGUGUGUCGUUUGUGCGAGAUGUCCUUUACCUCUAUGGCAGACUUUCAGAAACACAUCGCCGACCACGCGAGAGGAAAAAAUUAUCUCUGCCGCGUGUGCGGUGCAUUGUUAAAGGAAAAUUACAAUCUCAAGAGUCAUUACCACAAGCACACGGAAGAAAAGCCCGAUCAGUGUGGCGUGUGCGGCCGCAAAUUUUCUCGCAAGGGCCACCUCAAGACGCACAUGCUAUUGCACAUGGUCGAAAAGCCGUUUAAGUGCCGCCAUUGCACGGCUGCGUACACCCAGAAGCAAAAACUGGUCAGGCACAUCUCCAAGCACAUCACAUAACGCCGUUGCAUCGCCACCAGUGCAGUGAGGAAUACUCCGGACAAGAGAAAAGUCAGAAUCUCUGUUACCCUGUGGUUUGCCGCUUCAUAUCGCAGGGCUUGUGAUCCGGUCCGAACCCUUCUAUUUACUUACUUCGCGACUGCACGAUUGGGUCAUUCUUAUUCCUCAUGAAUACAGUUGAAAAAAUUGCCCUGGUUGGAGGCGGUUAAACCAUGUUUGUCGAGCGAUAGCACGGUUUUUCUUGCUUUGGGAAGGGACACAGACGCUGCUCGGCACCGUCAGAAACUACCGCACCUCCAGCUCCACCGCAAGACAACACACAGACGCUGCUCGGCGCGGCAGCAGCAGCAGCGAGCGAAUCUACCUUCAUGCUGCGUCUCGCUUCAACGCGAACUAAGUGUCGAAAGCGCAGCGCUCGGCGCACUUUGUACACAUCGCAGAUCGCUUUCAAGAUAUGGGCGCCCACGCGACGUACGCAGCAGCCGACGGUAGUGGCAGGCUAAGUCCCAAUUUGAUCUUGGCAGAGCUUAAAGGUCAGAUUUACGGAACCAGUCGUUUUCUGGGUUUGUGCCCGCAUGACGAUGUUCAACGAACUUAGUUUCACCGCCUGGCUCGAAAGACUUGCCCACCUCCGCACCCGGGACUGAGCCGAGCGGAGGCGGUGCUGUUCCGACAAAUACAAACUGGCUCCUUAACCACCCCAGUGCUAAUGAAUCAUCUGUACCAGAAAGUAUAUGUGAGUGAUGUGUACCGCGUGUGCCAGCGGGAGAGGGCUACCCUGACGCACAUCCUAUUGGAUUGCACCAAGUUCCCCGACGAAGCUUUGACAAGUGCAACGAUUCCGCUGCGACUCGCGGCUGCGGCAGAAUGCUACGACCACGAAAGCCAAACCUGAGCCGUCCAGCAGGUCUCGGCGGCUCUUGAAAGACAAAGGCCGAGCGAAACCGACGGAACGUUGCCCCUCAGGGCGACCGACCGCGGGUGUAACACGCGCUGGAGUUGAGUAGAGACCACCCGCUGAGACGACGUCAGGGCCCGCGUCGCGGCGCCAUUUAGUCAUAGUGUCGUUCUGCAGGCGACUAAAUAAAGUUCUUUCUCUCUC